UACGUAGGGGGCUAGCGUUGUCCGGAAUCAUUGGGCGUAAAGAGCGUGUAGGCGGCCCGGUAAGUCCGCUGUAAAAGUCAAAGGCUCAACCUUUGAAUGUCAGUGGAUACUGCCGGGCUAGAGUCCGGAAGAGGCGAGUGGAACUCCUGGUGUAGCGGUGGAAUGCGCAGAUGUCAGGAAGAACACCAACGGCGAAGGCAGCUCGCUGGGACGGUACUGACGCUGAGACGCGAAAGCGUGGGGAGCGAACAGG
rnacentral:rRNA from 1 species